rnacentral:misc_RNA from 1 species
AACGCACAUUGCGCCCGCCAGUAUUCUGGCGGGCAUGCCUGUUCGAGCGUCAUUUCAACCAUCAAGCGCCAGCGCUUGUGUUGGAGCCCUGCGGCUGCCGCAGGCUCCCAAACCCAGUGGCGGGCUCGUCGUCGUACCGAGUGCAGUAAACAUACCACGCUCAGGGCACGCGACGGGUGACCGGCCGUAAAACCCCCAACUUCUCAAGGUUGACCUCGGAUCAGGUAGGAAUACCCGCUGAACUUAA